GUUGGAUGUCAAGAGUAGAUAAUGUUGAUGACUAAUGGAAGAGUAGUUUAUACAGCGUGGAUACGCUGGGCAAAGAGAUGGUUCACAUUCCACUUGGAGCAGGAUGGUGCAAGAUUUCAUCACACUUCUCAGAACAACACACAGUUUAAAACUUAAUGACUUUUUUAUUUCUGGAAUUUCUCAUUUAAAAUUUUUGGACCACAGUUGACUGCAGGUUGUAAAGCUCUCUGAAAUAGUGACCUUAGCGAAGCAAGCACAUGUGGAUGUGAAAUUUCAGUUGCCAAUAUGAUCUGAAAACCCAGUGGAUGGCUGAAGGUACUUUAGAUUUUCUACAUCUAAUGGUGGCAAAUAAAUCCACUAGCUGCCAAAUACAUGGGAAAUGAUCUGUGAAAACCACAAGUGGCCCAACAAACUGUACGUCUUCAAUUUGACAGCACAAAGGAAUUAUUGGU
rnacentral:lncRNA from 1 species